UUGAUAAUAUAGUUUAUACUAUCAUUAAUAUGUGCACUGUUACCGCCAAUUGGCGGCCGUAAGGUCGUCAAUUGGCCCCAAUUAAAAUAUUUAUUAAUAACUUUUUAUACCAGUAAUCAUAUAAACUUAUGA
rnacentral:misc_RNA from 1 species